rnacentral:rRNA from 1 species
GACGAACGCUGGCGGCGUGCCUAAUACAUGCAAGUAGAACGCUGAAGGAGGAGCUUGCUUCUCUGGAUGAGUUGCGAACGGGUGAGUAACGCGUAGGUAACCUGCCUGGUAGCGGGGGAUAACUAUUGGAAACGAUAGCUAAUACCGCAUAAGAGUAGAUGUUGCAUGACAUUUGCUUAAAAGGUGCAAUUGCAUCACUACCAGAUGGACCUGCGUUGUAUUAGCUAGUUGGUGGGGUAACGGCUCACCAAGGCGACGAUACAUAGCCGACCUGAGAGGGUGAUCGGCCAUACUGGGACUGAGACACGGCCCAGACUCCUACGGGAGGCAGCAGUAGGGAAUCUUCGGCAAUGGACGGAAGUCUGACCGAGCAACGCCGCGUGAGUGAAGAAGGUUUUCGGAUCGUAAAGCUCUGUUGUAAGAGAAGAACGAGUGUGAGAGUGGAAAGUUCACACUGUGACGGUAUCUUACCAGAAAGGGACGGCUAACUACGUG